rnacentral:RNase_P_RNA from 1 species
UUCGGAGUGUGGGCGUUCGCUUGGUCGUAAGAUUGAGAGGAAAGUCCGGACACCGUAGGGCAGGAUUCCCUGUGAAAACGGGGGCGCGUCAGGGUAACUUGGCGUGACGGAUAGUGUCACAGAAAUUAUACCGCCUCGAACUUGUUUGAGGUAAGGGUGAAAUGGGGAGGUAAGAGCUCACCGCUCCGGAGGUAACGAAGGAGGCAGGAUAAACCCAAUCCGGUGCAAGGCAAAAUAGGGGAUCGGGCUGCCCGUCCAAUGAUUCCGGGUAUGUCGCAUCUCACUUCGGUGGGAAUUUCGCUUCGGCGGGAUAGAUAAAUGAACGCACAGCCAAUCGCUUCGGCGCACGGCGGACAAAAUCCGGCUUACAGCACUUCGAAAUCG